rnacentral:rRNA from 1 species
UGAGGAAUAUUGGUCAAUGGGCGCAAGCCUGAACCAGCCAAGUAGCGUGCAGGAAGACGGCCCUAUGGGUUGUAAACUGCUUUUAUACGAGAAUAAUUUGAUGCACGUGUGCGUUAUUGCAUGUAUCGUAUGAAUAAGGACCGGCUAAUUCCGUGCCAGCAGCCGCGGUAAUACGGAAGGUCCAGGCGUUAUCCGGAUUUAUUGGGUUUGAAGGGAGUGUAGGCGGUUUGUUAAGCGUGUUGUGAAAUUUAGAUGCUCAACAUUUAACUUGCAGCGCGAACUGUCAGACUUGAGUACACGCAACGUAUGCGGAAUUCAUGGUGUAGCGGUGAAAUGCUUAGAUAUCAUGAAGAACUCCGAUUGCGAAGGCAGCAUACGGGAGUGUAACUGACGCUUAAGCUCGAAGGUGCGGGUAUCGAACAGGAUUAGAUACCCUGGUAGUCCGCACAGUAAACGAUGGAUGCCCGCUGUUAGCGCCUGGCGUUAGCGGCUAAGCGAAAGCAUUAAGCAUCCCACCUGGGGAGUACGCCGGCNCGGU